GAUGAACGCUGGCGGCGUGCCUAAUACAUGCAAGUAGAACGCUGAAGGAAGGAGCUUGCUCUUUCCGGAUGAGUUGCGAACGGGUGAGUAACGCGUAGGUAACCUGCCUGGUAGCGGGGGAUAACUAUUGGAAACGAUAGCUAAUACCGCAUAACAGUAGAUGUUGCAUGAUAUCUACUUAAAAGGUGCAAUUGCACCACUACCAGAUGGACCUGCGUUGUAUUAGCUAGUUGGUGAGGUAACGGCUCACCAGGGCGACGAUACAUAGCCGACCUGAGAGGGUGAUCGGCCACACUGGGACUGAGACACGGCCCAGACUCCUACGGGAGGCAGCAGUAGGGAAUCUUCGGCAAUGGACGGAAGUCUGACCGAGCAACGCCGCGUGAGUGAAGAAGGUUGUCGGAUCGUAAAGCUCUGUUGUAAGAGAAGAACGAGUGUGAGAGUGGAAAGUUCACACUGUGACGGUAGCUUACCAGAAAGGGACGGCUAACUACGUG
rnacentral:rRNA from 1 species